UACAGAGGUCUCAAGCGUUGUUCGGAUUCAUUGGGCGUAAAGGGUGCGUAGGUGGCAUGGUAAGUCGGAUGUGAAAUCCCGGGGCUCAACCCCGGAACUGCAUUCGAUACUGCUGCGCUAGAGUACUGGAGAGGAGAUUGGAAUUUACGGUGUAGCAGUGAAAUGCGUAGAUAUCGUAAGGAAGACAGUGGCGAAGGCGAGUCCCUGGACAACACCUGACACUGAGG
rnacentral:rRNA from 1 species